UCCGGUGGCCGUUGCUCGGUUAGUUCUCAGCCCCGUCGCGUAUUUUCGGUCUCUUUGGCUGUAGAAAUACCAAUCCUUCCCUCCCACGCAUGCCAUUUCU
rnacentral:sRNA from 1 species